UGCACUCCAGCCUAGGUGACAGCGCAAAUGCUGUCUCAAAAAACAAAACAAAACAAAACAAAAACCCGUUGAACUCUGUUAGGUAGAGCUUUGAUGGAGGCAGCCACUGGUUAGCACUUUUUGUGGACUCCAAUCAGAGGAAUGGAAAUGAGUUUUCUCUGUCCCACUGAAAAGACAACAGUGACAAAGCUGAUAUGCACUUGAGAUUAGGGAAUCUGCUGUCUCAGAGAUACCACUGGCGACUUCCUCCCAGUGUCAAUGUGACUUAAUUGUCUUGUUCUGCUUCGCCGGCCAUUCUCCUGACUCAGUGUGAUGGCAUUCUUAAUUGUGACUGGGCAAGGGGACCUGGUCAAGCAGCAGUCUGAAUCCCACAGACGAUGCCCUGGACUGUGGUUGGGGCUGUGGGACUUCGAAGGAGGGCUCUCCUGUCUGCCACCAUCCUGGGUUGACAAUUCUACACAAGGAGUUUUUACAGAGUCAAGAGGAUCCUAUGAAUUUCCCACUGGGUUAAAAAUAUGACACAAUCCAAGGAGACAGCAUACCCAGUAGUGCCGUGUAGACUGUCGUAAACACCGUUUCACCAGGCUGCACAGAUGAUGCUGCUCUUCCCUUCACCUCCCAUCCUGUCGAAAAGGUUUUGUUAUUUUGUGCUCAUUUCAGAAGCUGAUGUGUAAAUGGUGUGUAUUUCUGUUGCCAUGACAACCCAGCAGCAAUUGGCCUGGGCUUCUUACCAGAGUACAAAUGUGCUCUUGACACGAUGCUUAUCAGACUUUGCCAGACAAUUUUCCCUCCUGGAUUCACACAAAAGGUUUCGAAGACUCCUAACUGCAUUUAGAGGAGAGACAGGCUGAAAUUUCGCACUUGGCUCACAUGAAUGAUGAAGCUCUAAAGCUCUGAUCCCCUGCUGAAGUCAUCGUGUUCUAGUCUAUCAUUUCAGUACUCUGGGGGCAACUCUGUAUAAUUAAAGAGGACCAAGUAUAAAUGUGGCAAAAAAAUCUUGCUGGCUACCAGAACUGGGCUUUUGUUGAUGUUUCAUGUGACACAUAACUGUCUCUGCAUUUAAUAAAAGGUCACUGUGACUGCCUAUGUUCUUAUUCA
rnacentral:lncRNA from 1 species